GAUGAACGCUAGCGGGAGGCUUAACACAUGCAAGUCGUGGGGCAGCAUUUGGUAGCAAUACUGAGAUGGCGUCCGACGCACGGGUGAGUAACGCGUAUGCAACCUACCCAGUACAGGGGGAUAGCCCGGCGAAAUGCGGACUAAUACCCCAUACUGCUAUAACGCGGCAUCUUUUUAUAUUUAAAGCUUCGGCGGUACUGGAUGGGCAGGCGUAAGAUUAGCUAGUUGGUAGGGUGACGGCCUACCAAGGCUCCGCUCGUUAGGGGUCCGGGGAGGGUGAUCCCACACGCUGGUACUGAGACACGGACCAGACUCCUACGGGAGGCAGCAGUGAGGAAUAUUGGUCAAUGGGCGCAAGCCUGAACCAGCCAUCCCGCGUGAAGGAAGAAAGCGCUAUGCGUUGUAAUCUUCUUUUCCGGAGGAAUAAAAUCUUGUACGUGUACAGGACUGAAGGUACUCCGGGAAUAAGCAUCGGCUAACUCCGUGCCAGCAGCCGCCGUAAAAC
rnacentral:rRNA from 1 species